rnacentral:rRNA from 1 species
GCCAAGCCAGCGGAGUUGUGGUUAAUUAGCUCCUAUCAUUGUACCAAGGUGUAAAAGCCUGAAGUUCAGUCAUGGGGUCAAGUUAAUUGAUCAUAAUGGGGUGCCAGUUAAUUUACUUUGAGUAAAUUAGAGUGUUCAAAGCAGCCUCUUGGGGCUUUGAAUAGUUUAGCAUGGGAUAAUGAAAUAGGAUUGGAUUCCUAUUUGUUGGUUUAAUGAAUCCAAUAAUGAUUAAGAGGGACAGUUGGGGGCACUCAUAUUAAGUGGUUAGCGGUGAAAUGUGUUGACCCACUUAAGAUGAACUAAAGCGAAAGCAUUUGCCAAGGAUGUUUUCAUUAAUCAAGAACGAAAGUUAAGGGAUCGAAGACGAUUAGAUACCGUCGUAGUCUUAACUAUAAACUAUGCCGACCAGGGAUAUGAGUAGUUUAUUUCUGAUUCGCUUCGGUGGGUCAGAUACUUCUCCUUAUGCACCUUGUGAGAAAUCAUAAGUUUUUGGGUUCUGGGGGAAGUAUGGUCGCAAGGCUGAAACUUAAAGGAAUUGA